GUAGCCGGAGUGUGUUAUCAUGUCCAUGGCAAAGAGCAAGAGAGGAAAUGAAAAUGUGUAAGUGCCUUUUCAGAAUUCUGCAUGACUCACAGAUGCCAACAUGCUAUUGGCCAAAGAAAGAUGUAUGUAUGACUGAAGAAGUAAAGUGAUAAAAUAGCCUCAACCUCUUUGUGAGAAAACAUGCAAAGUCACAUGGCACAGGAGCAUGGAUACAUGGCAAGUCGAGGAAUUUGGGCCAUUUAUGCAAUCAGUCUACUGCACCUGCCCACUUUAUGAUGUUAUGAGGUUCAGUUAGAUAUAUGUAAAGGGUCUUAUAAACUCUACAACAUUAUGCAAUUACAACAGCAUUCAUUCCAAUGUGUCAUCAUUUUAUCAGGUUAGUAGUAAUCUGCUAUGUACUCAGUAUGGAGAGCAGUGGUUAUAACUACAUAAAAAAUGCAACACUGGGUAUGUGAACUUGGUCUUAUCCCUCUCAUUUGCAAUGUGCCACAUUGGGAGACAGAUGGGACAGGGAACAAAUAUUUGGGUACCCUUAUCGCCUCUGUCAUCAAGUUGGUUCCCAAACUGUGCCCAGCCUGUUCUCUUGAAAUUAUCAUCUGCACUCUGCUCCCAAAGAAGUAUUUCACCAAAACUAAUGUCUGACUAUUGGCAUAUUGAAUGUAGAACAGACAAUAUUACUGGCUUAAAUGUGAAAUUAUUGUAUUAGUAUUUGCUGAAAUAAUUGUAUAUUGUCUUCUAUGGGUUGUACUAAUCAUGCAAAUAAAAGUUAUGCUAAAUCCUUGUCUGAGCUGCUAUUCUAUAAAUUUGAUAACUACUGGAAUGUAAUUUACUUUUUCUUUAUAACUCAUCUUUCAUGACCAUAUAGAGCUCAGAACCAAGAAUUGGUUCUGACCAUAGCUUUGCCACUAAUUUGCAUGAGACACAUAAACAAAUCACCUAUUCUUGCUCUCUCCAUUUUAUCACAUUUAAAAUAAAAAGACUAAAUUAGAAAAAUAUUUGAAAAAUCCUAUGAUUCUAAAAAAUUCUAUUUGUUCUGGAGGCAGGUGUGGGUCUCCUCUUUUUCCAGUGAUAAAAUGUGAAUAGCAAGAUGUGGGAAAAUUAGAGUAGAAUGCUUGUAGACUCUAUUAAUGAGGUCAAAACUAAAUUUGUGAGUUAAAUAGCAUUUUGUGGCUUAAUGUCUUAGAAUAAUAAUUAAAUUAAUUUUUCAUUGAAUCACCAACAUGAUGUCACCAAAACCAAAUGAUCAUUUGCUAAUUUUCAGAAAAAAAUAAGUAACAUCCCCAUUUUGAGGUUUCCUUCUGUUAAAUAUUCUGCAGACAUUGAACAUACUGUUACUUGAGUCACAAGUAGUAAUGACUGUGGGACAAAGGGACAAAUGGGAUGAGAAGUAGGGGGAAUAGGGUUCCUUGGUGGUGUUCAUUCUGGAUUUCCAGAAUCUUGACUCUAAGAGUUGGUUAGGUUCCUUCCAGGCCAAAUAUCUAUACAUAAAAUAGCAGAAAAUGUCUUUUUCAUUGCUUCACGAAAGAGGUAUUUCCUGAAGGCCUCCUGAGUGUCAGGCACUGUUAGGUUCUUGCUACAUAUACAUCAGUGAGUAGGACACAUGAAGCUUCCUGCCUCAGAGGGUUUGCAUUCUCCUGGGGAUUAUUUAAUUUAGGGCUUGUAAAGAAAAAGAAUUUGUUGAACUGACUGAAUCCAUACUAUACUGGGAAAUACCCAUGCCAGAGGUCAGUCUAUGAUGGCCUGUGGGCCAUAUCUGGCCCACCACCUGUUUUUGUUUGGCCCAUGGGCUAAAAAUGGUUGUUACUUGUGAACAUUAGCGAUAAUUUUGUUGAUUAGGAACACUAACCUUGGAACCCAGUUAAGCAAAAUGUUAUCCUUUGAAUAAAAUUCUGUUCUUUUCACUAGUAGGUCUGAAUCCCAAAAACCAAAUUUGGCUGACUAUUAUUGUUAUCCUUUGAAUUUCACCAAUAAAAAUGUGGAAAUUGGCUUUUUCUCUUCUUAUGUAAGUAACUGUAAAACAUACUUGAUUUUGCCUAGAGCUCACUAAGUGUAAAUGUAUCUGGUCUUUUACAGAAAAUGUUUGUCAAUUCCUGAUCUAUAGAAUUGAAUAUAAAGGACAUAAAUGAAUACAGAAAUUUCUGUAGCUCUUUUUCAUUAAAUAACUGGUGCCAGAAUUUAAUCAAAGUGAUGAGAAAAACUUUGUUUAAACAUUAGUCCUCUAUCAUUUAACCCAAAUUAUCUAUUUUUGUUACAAAUUACUGUGUUCUCUAUAGUAUGACAUAUGCUCAAAUAUUUGGUAAUCUUUUAAACACAUGCUCAAAUGUUAAGGUGUUGAGAUAGUGUUAGUUGACCACUACAGUUUCUGACCAAUGUGUUUUGAGUUUCUAUGUGCUCUUCCUGCAAGCAGAAUUUUCUCCCUGAGGUCAAUACUCUUGAUGUCACCAUGAUGGCCUUUGAAGUUUUAAAGCCCUUUUGACUGGAAAAAAAAUCUCUUUCUGCUUGGAGUAGAUAUAUAGAAAUCAUGACACUCCCACUGUAACAUGAUUAAAUUACUCACUUCUCAGAAAUGGUGGUUAAAAAUCAUUAAUGUUUAAUCGCUUCAUACCCAAUGCCAAGUAGUUUACACUAAUACAGAGCAGCCUAAGCUAUGGCCAAAUGAAACUGAAUGGAAAACUCAGAAACAGCUGAUGAGGUCUCAUUCAACAUCUUUGUUUUUUCCUGGGACAUUUAUGCUCAUGGUGGUGAUUUUAUAUUGCAUACAUAUAAUAUAGUCACGGUUAUUGCUUUUAAAAUCGCUCCUAGUUUCUUUGAUGGAUUUAAAUUUAUUACUAUUUUAUGGAGAAAUAGUAUAUUGUUCCACUAGGAAAAUCAUGAUUUCUCAUUGCUCAGCCACACAAACAAAUUUUAAUGCCACUAAUUCAAAACUCAUCCCAAACCCUUUCCUCAAAACAAAAGCAAUAGCGAUUAUGUUUAGAAUUCUGAGUUAGAGUUUUAAAAUAUAUUUCAAAAUAUGAACUAGAAGAAUUAGGUUCCCAUUUUUAGGAAUUGAUCUAAAAGAUACACCAUUCAAAGAAAAAUGAAAGUACUCAGGAACAAUGCUGUUCAUUGAAGCACCAUUUGUAAUGGCAAAAUACUGCAGUUAAUUCAAAUAUUCCCCCAUACAGAAUAGGUUGAAUAGACUAUGAUGUAUUCACAUCAUGGAUUAUUAUGCAGCCAUACAAAAGAAUGAAAAAAAACCUCUGUUACUAUGAAAUGAUCUUCAUGAUAAAAAAUGUGUGCAUGGAUGUGCAUGAGUGCAUUUACUUUCUCAGAUUUUACAAAUCAGAGAAGUGACAAAGCAAAACGUUAAAAAAAUAGUUAACAAUAAGGGCAGGAGGGAACAGAGGGGAAAGGGAAGAGGGAGAGACUCUUCUUUGUUUUUCUUAUUUACCUUGUUCUGAGGAUGUGAUUUUGAAAGUGCAAAUAUUUUGCAUAAUAGUGUAAUAAAAUUAAACACAAAGAGCAAUUCCUAAACAUUGAAAGGAAAAGGAAAAAGAAACCUUAAAGUGUAUCCUGCUGAUGGCAUAACCUCCCACAGAGGAACUAUCCCAAGUGACUUUAAGUUAGGGCAUUACAGUUUGACGGUACAUUGAGUGAGACAAACGUACUUAAAAAAGAAAACCUCUUUCUGUAAUCAUAUAAUCAGUAGAAGUGUCAAUAUUAUUUUGAGACCCUUGUGUAGGUGGUGUGGGAUAAAGCAAGUGAGGAACUGUAUUUGUGCCAUUGAAAACCCAGAUUUGGAGCUUGGCAGAAAAGAGAGAUAUGAAACCAGUUAGGUGAAGUAAAAACCCUGUACUCUUGAAUUUGAAUAGGAAGUAUUAGUUUGAACUUUGAUGUGUUUUGUCCAAAACAAACAAAAAAAGAUAGCCAUAUUUUCUAUCUAUAGCCACUUACAAGUACCAGAAGCCAAAUGCCGGAAAUAGAAAUAUAUAUGUUGUCCUGUCAGGAAAUAAGGAUGCUAUUCAAGUCUACUAGGGUCAUCUCAAAAGAAUUCAGGAACCUAAAUGAAUAGACUUCCAUGUCAAAGGAUAAUUUGUGUAUUGUAAAGUAUAGUAAUUGCAAUAAAUUGUAAGACAUCAAAGAUCUUUAAAUUCAUGAGCUCAUAAAAUACGUAUAUAUACAAACACACACACAUACAUAUAUGUAUAUAUACACAUAUUUUGUAUAUAUUGUCUUCUUUGAAGAUGUUAGGGAUCUUAUUCUUUUUGAAAAUCAUUAACAAAAAAAGAACCAAACAUUUAUCUUGUUUCUCUCGUACAAACUGUACCUCAGCAUAGUCAAUUGCUGCUAAGGGGGGAACGUAUCCUUGUAGAAACCUAGCACCUAAUAAUUGAGGAAAUUAUUUUUUCAACAACUUAUGAAUUAAUGGAUUUAAGCAAUGAUUAUUCAUGGCUGCUAACCUUGCAAAAAGAAGACAACUGGGAUUAUUCAAUCAUGAGGAUAGCAUACAGCACCACCAGUGAAGGUGCCUGGACAAAACAGCCGGCAUGGGGCUCCUCAAAUCCCUAAUUUUGAAUACAAAUUCAUAGGGAAUAUAAAGGACAAAAAUCACCAUAAGGAUGAAGCAGAAAAAUACAGAUGGAGGAAAACUUUAUAGGACAAACAACCCAUUUCUGUAACAAAAUCUGAAGAGAAAGGGUGAAAGAAACAGAAAACGAGACACAAAGCGAGAAUCUACUGAUUAAAAGAAAUUUGAGAGAUUUAUCAUCUCUCACAUAUGGAUGGCAUUUGGAUUCUAAUUCUAAAACCAAAAUGGAAAAUGUAAGUAACUGGGGAAAUGUGAACAUGAUUAACUCUUUGCUAUUAAGGACUUGUUUUCACAUUUUCAUGUGUGAUAAUGGUAUUCAAUAUGCAGAAAAGAGUCUCUUUUAGAAACAUCCCUGAAAUAUUUACAGAAGGUGUGAUGUCUGAGAAAGCUUCAAAAUUCAGGGAUGGUCUAGAGAGAGUCAAGAGAGUAUGUGUAUAAAAAAGCAAGGUUGGUCAUGAGUUGUGAGCUAUCUAAGCUGAGUGAGAAUUGGAGAAUUAUUAUACUGCUCUAAGUAGAGAACAUGGUUUUAGAUCGUUCUAUUUUUAUUUGUUUGAAAUGCUCUAAAAUAAAAUGUUAAAACAUGGAAGGUAAAGGUAAGCAAAUUCUUCUAGAUCUAGAACUACAGUUUAUUAAAUCCUAAAUGAAUUAGAUGCUGCCUGUUGAACUAAUAUUUUAAAAAUACUUUGUAGAAACAGUAUUUAAAAAUACUUAUAUAAGCUGAGAUGUAUUAAUGGGUGCUUAUUAUUAGCAUGCUUAUUCAUAGUAAAAUAUUAUGUUCCAAGCCUGGCUUUCUCCUUUAAAGUUUUUGUUAUGAUGUCAUGUGGGACCAAUAUCUUAAUAUAAGUUGCUCUUAUGGGUCUGUAAAUAUACAAUGGAGAUAGUAUUUUAAAAAUGUCUUCACAAAUAACAUAGUAUCUCUCUUGAACCACACAGUUUUUUGCCGGUAGUGCCUGUGCUGAGACUUUAUCAUCCUAGAGAAGAGGAAAAUAGGUACCUUCUAGAACCAAGAGUCCCGGAAGUAGCAUCAAGAGCCAGUAUGACACAGGUGAAUUCCUCUCUGAAGAGGGGCAAGAAGCCAGCAAUGCUUCUGGUGCAAAAAGGAGGGGGUUCAGAUCUAGGUUUGGAAUGCUAUGGAGAUGCCCAGAGGGGUCCUACACACCACCGACCUUUGUGAGAAGAUAGAGGCCCCAGAGAGGGUGUGCCCCAUAUAGUUGGUUUAAUAGUGCCCUUCCCAUAAAAAGAUAGGUACAAGUCCAAACCCCCAGAACCUAUAAUGUGACCUUCAGUGUACAAAUCAUCUUGCAGAUGUGAUUAAAUUUAAGAGUUGGAGACAGCAUUAUUCUGCAUUAGAAUGGCCUCUAAUGCCAAUGGCAAAUCCAUAGGAGAGAAGGGGAAAUAGCUCCAGAGUUAGAGAGGAAGGUAACAAGAAGACGGAGUAAUGCAGACCAAGGCCAAGGAGCGCCCCGGGUUGCUGGAGCUGGUGGACGGCAAGAGAGACUCACAGAGCAGAUUCUCCCUCGGAGCCUCCAGAGGGAACCCACCUGUCGGCAACUUGAUUUCUGGCCUCCUGGAAAAGAAUACAUUUCUCUUGUCUGAAGCCACUGAAUUUGUGCUAAUUUGCCUCAGUGGCCCUAGGAAGCUAAUACACCCUGCUUCCCAUAGUGGAUUCUGGGAGGAGAGCAUGUCACAGGUCUCUCGGUGCAAUAUGAGAUACAGAAGAAUGGCAUCUCCGUGUCAUGUGACUUGAAAGGGGAAGGUCCAGAAUUAGGUGCCUAAGCCCCUCUUGUCUCACUUUCACAGACCAUUUCCGGGAGUUCUGAUAAGUUCCUGGUGGGAUGGCUGAGAGCUGGCAGACUAGUCACAGAGAUCCCUAGAGUGAGAUGGCCUUGAGGGGGGGCUACAGUAGAGGCUGAGGGUGCAGGUGGAUGGUAGGUGGAUGGUAGAGCUAGAGGCCUAAGAAGGGGUGGGGUUGGACGAGAAGGUGGAGUUAAUACCAGGAGCUAAAUGCACUGAGAGAACAGACUAUGGACGUCACCAGUGUGGACUAGUUGGAGUGGAUCUGGACAGGACAGAGAGCAGGAGAAACCACCAGAGAAGCAGAAGCCAGGACAGAACUACAUCACGGGACUGGGGCUCACCUCCCUAUACACCUCUUCUUGUGCCCCAAGUUCAUCUGGGGAAGGAAGACCUUGACGUGAGAAAUUGUUCAGAACCUGUAUCACUUUCCCAAUGGUCCUCUUUAACACAGUUUGAAAUACUUUACUCUCCAUCUUCUCUAUCAAGUAAAUGCUGGGAUUUGACUUGGUACUGGGGCACUCCAGAAGGACUAGGAAGGGUUCAAGGAGCCUUGUAAAGGACUGCAAGGAGCUUUGUGAAGAGGAGAGACUGAGGAAGAUGUUCUGCACAACCAGUGGACCAAUGGAGGGGAAACAAAAGUCCUUCCAAUUGCAGACACUGUAACUUUGGUGCCUAAAUAAAUGUUUUGAAAGAUGUUUCUGCCAGUGUUAAGCCAUUUCAGAGGCUGCAAACAUUCUAGGUCAACAUCAUCCCCUUGCCAUUUUUCAAGGCCCACUUAAAAAUCAGCCCUGAAUGAAGAGUUUCUAAACUAGUGCCACUCAAACUGUACUUCCCUUCUCCAAACUCCUCCAUCAAUAAAGCCUAAAGCAUGCAACCUAAAAUUUAAGGAUAUGUCUUUAUUAAAUGAAAUACUGAGAAUUCUUUGUAGUCGCAAACUAUGAUUCAAAUGUUCUAUUUAUUACUCUAUUUUGUAUUGUUUGCUGUUAUAUUUCUUCUCUCUUCUCUAUUUAGAUUUCAAACUCUCUGAAAAUUACUGGGUGUUGUACUUUUCUUAU